UUCUGCUUCUCCGUCUCCGUCUUCUUCUUCUUCGUCCUCUUCUUUCCUGGUUUCUA
rnacentral:sRNA from 1 species